rnacentral:rRNA from 1 species
CCUACGGGGGACAGCAGUGGGGGAUAUUGCACAAUGGGGGAAACCCUGAUGCAGCGACGCCGCGUGUGGGAAGACGGUCCUCUGGAUUGUAAACCACUGUCCCCAGGGACGAAGAUGACGGUACCUGGGGAGGAAGCUCCGGCUAACUACGUGCCAGCAGCCGCGGUAAUACGUAGGGAGCGAGCGUUGUCCGGAUUUACUGGGGGAAAAGGGAGCGUAGGCGGGGAUGCAAGUUGGGUGUCAAAACUACCGGCUCAACUGGUAGUCGCACUCAAAACUGCAGCUCUUGAGUGAAGUAGAGGCAGGCGGAAUUCCGAGUGUAGCGGUGAAAUGCGUAGAUAUUAGGAGGAACACCAGUGGCGAAGGCGGCCUGCUGGGCUGUUACUGACGCUGAGGCUCGAAAGUGUGGGGAGCAAACAGGAUUAGAUACCCUUGUAGUC